rnacentral:lncRNA from 1 species
UAGUCAGACUUAACAUUGAUUGAAGCAGCUGUUGGAGAGAAGGCACCAGUCAGACCUGCAAGCACCGGGUAGUAUGCAGCGGCAGUUUUCAAUCAUACAAUGUGUACUCUUAGUCUGACUUUUAGCGGUAGUCAGCUGUCCUCGUUCUCCUCUUUGAAUUGCCCUAUUGAGUAAGGGUCGGUGUUUGCAAAAAUGUCGAGCCGACGGGGUCAGGUACCAGUAGUGACAAUAGCAAAGGGGGGCUGGACACUAGUUGUGCGAGUGGAAUGACCCAACUGGACCUAGUCAAUGAGUAAGGGUUGGUGUUUGCAAAAAUGUCGAGCCGACGGGGUCAGGUACCAGUAGUGACAAUAGCAAAUGGGGGCUGGACACUAGUUGUCGAGUGGAAUGACCUAAGUGGACCUAGUCAGCCCGAACCGUUUUGCAGUUCUAGAGGAC